rnacentral:rRNA from 1 species
AAAUUGAAGAGUUUGAUCAUGGCUCAGAUUGAACGCUGGCGGCAGGCCUAACACAUGCAAGUCGAACGGUAGCACAGGAAGCAGCUUGCUGCUUUGCUGACGAGUGGCGGAC